AUUGAACGCUGGCGGCAGGCCUAACACAUGCAAGUCGAACGGUAACAGGAAGAAGCUUGCUUCUUUGCUGACGAGUGGCGGACGGGCGAGUAAUGUCUGGGAAACUGCCUGAUGGAGGGGGAUAACUACUGGAAACGGUAGCUAAUACCGCAUCACUUCGCAAGACCAAAGAGGGGGACCUCCGGGCCUCUUGCCAUCGGACGUGCCCAGAUGGGAUUAGCUAGUUGGUGGGGUAACGGCUCACUAAGGCGACGAUCCCUAGCUGGUCUGAGAGGAUGACCAGCCACACUGGAACUGAGACACGGUCCAGACUCCUACGGGAGGCAGCAGUGGGGAAUAUUGCACAAUGGGCGCAAGCCUGAUGCAGCCAUGCCGCGUGUAUGAAGAAGGCCUUCGGGUUGUAAAGUACUUUCAGCGGGGAGGAAGGGAGUAAAGUUAAUACCUUUGCUCAUUGACGUUACCCGCAGAAGAAGCACCGGCUAACUCCGUGCCAGCAGCCGCGGUAA
rnacentral:rRNA from 1 species